rnacentral:pre_miRNA from 1 species
UCAUGACGAUGAUGCUGAUGAUGAUGAUGACGAUGAUGAUGAUUAUCAUCAUCAUCAUCAUCAUCAUCAUCAUCAUCAUCAUCAUCAACA